rnacentral:rRNA from 1 species
UACGUAGGGGGCAAGCGUUGUCCGGAAUCAUUGGGCGUAAAGAGCGUGUAGGCGGUCCGGUAAGUCGGCUGUGAAAGUCCAGGGCUCAACCCUGGGAUGCCGGUCGAUACUGCCGGACUAGAGUUCGGAAGAGGCGAGUGGAAUUCCCGGUGUAGCGGUGAAAUGCGCAGAUAUCGGGGAGGAACACCUAUGGCGAAGGCAGCUCGCUGGGACGUUACUGACGCUGGAGACGCGAAAGCGUGGGGAGCAAACAGG